rnacentral:rRNA from 1 species
CUUUAAGUUUCAAUCUUGCGACCGUACUUCCCAGGCGGCAGACUUAAUGGCUUCCCUGCGGCACAGCAUUGGCCAUAAACCAACGCUUCACCGAGUCUGCAUCGUUUACAGCUGGGACUACCCGGGUAUCUAAUCCGGUUUGCUCCCCCAGCUUUCAUCCCUCACUGUCGAACGUGUUCUGGCAGACCGCCUUCCCCACUGGUGGUCUUCAAAGGAUCAGAGGAUUUUACCCCUACCCCCCGAGUACCGUCUGCCUCUCCCACUCCCUAAUCUUGUAGUAUCUCCAGCGGCCCAUCUGUUGAGCAGGUGGAUUUAACCGGAGACUUGCAAGACCAGCUACGGAUGCUUUAGGCCCAAUAAUCGUCCUGACCACU